UACGGAGGAGGCAAGCGUUAUCCGGAAUUAUUGGGCGUAAAGCGUCCGCAGGUGGCACCUCAAGUCUGCUGUCAAAGACCGGGGCUUAACCCCAGAAAGGCAGUGGAAACUGAAGUGCUAGAGUGCAGUAGGGGUAGAGGGAAUUCCCGGUGUAGCGGUGGAAUGCGUAGAGAUCCGGAAGAAUACCGGUGGCGAAGGCGGCCUGCUGGGCAGUGGCUGACACUGAGGCGCGACAGCGUGGGGAGCAAACAGG
rnacentral:rRNA from 1 species